AUGGAGGUCGUCACAGGUGCCAUGGGCUGCCUACUCCCCAUGCUAGGCCAGCUGCUCAUGGAUGAGUACAACUUGCACAAGCGCGUCAAAAAAGAUGUCGAGUUCCUCUGGAAGGAGCUUGAGAGCAUGCACGCUGCCCUCAUCAAGGUUGGCGAGGUGCCGCGGGACCAGCUCGACAGGCAACUUUGGGCCGACGAGGUCAGAGAGCUCUCCUAUAACAUGGAGGAUGUCGUCGACAAGUUCCUCGUAGGUGUCGAAGGUAUUCAGCAGCCUCAUGACAACACCAGCAGAUUCAAGGAGCUCAAGAACAAGAUGAUCUACUUGUUCAAGAAGGGCAAGAAUCACCAUCGAAUAGCUGGCGCCAUCAAGGAAAUUAAGGAGCAACUCCAGGAGGUGGCUGCUAGGCGUGGCAGGAACAAGCUCGAUGGUAUUGCUUUUAAUCCCACAGAAGCAAUUGCUAUCGAUCCUCGUCUUCGGGCUUUGUACACAGAAGCGAUAGAGCUGGUGGGCAUUUAUGGGAAGAGGGAUCAAGACCUCUUGAGUUUGCUCUCCAUUGAGGGCGACGAUGCAUCUAACAAGAAACUGAAGAAGAUCUCCAUUGUUGGAUUUGGAGGGUUGGGAAAGACCACUCUUGCUAGAGCAGUAUACGAGAAGAUUAAAGGUGAUUUUGAUUGUCAGGCAUUUGUCCCCGUCGGUCAAAACCCUGAUGUCAGGAAGGUUUUUAGGGAUAUCCUUAUUGAUCUCGGAAAAUCCCACUCAGAUGUUGUUAUGUUGGAUGAAAGGCAGCUUAUCAACAAGCUUCAUGAAUUUCUUGAGAACAAGAGGUAUCUCGUCAUAAUUGAUGAUAUAUGGGAUGAAAAAUUGUGGGAAGGCAUCAACUUGGCUUUCUCUAACAGGAAUAAUCUAGGCAGUCGGCUAGUCACCAAGCCCGAAUUGUUAGUGUCUCCAAUUCAUGUUGCUCGUCGGCUAAUGAUUCAGUUUAUCAAAUGA
rnacentral:rRNA from 1 species